AUGUAUGGGAGCUGGGUAUUAUCACCUGUCUACCCAACAGGCCUCCGCUUCCCCCAGAACAGAAAUGGGUUUGCAGGGCUGGAGAUCCUAAUGAACAGAAACCUUGUAUACACAGCCGAAGCCCUGGGAAUUCCUUGCUGCAGCAUGCUUGGAGGCCACUGGUGCCGCUCAUGUGGCAGGUUUGGCACUGCUACCACAGGGUUCACACCAUGCUAUGUCAAAAAGGAGGUGAUGAGACUCUGGGAGUCUCAGGCUCAAAGAAUGUCCUGA
ensembl:lincRNA